rnacentral:rRNA from 1 species
CCUACGGGUGGCAGCAGUGAGGAAUAUUGGUCAAUGGACGGAAGUCUGAACCAGCCAAGCCGCGUGAAGGAUGACGGCCCUAUGAGUUGUAAACUGCUUUUGUAUAAGGGUAAAAUGGACUACGUGUAGUCAGUUGAAAGUACUGUAUGAAUAAGGAUCGGCUAACUCCGUGCCAGCAGCCGCGGUAAUACGGAGGAUCCGAGCGUUAUCCGGAUUUAUUGGGUUUAAAGGGGGCGUAGGUGGAUUGUUAAGUUAGUUGUGAAAGUUUGCGGCUUAACCGUAGAACUGCAGCUGAUACUGGCAGUCUUGAGUAUAGUCGCGGUAGGCGGAAU